UGGGGAAUUUUGGACAAUGGGGGAAACCCUGAUCCAGCCAUCCCGCGUGUGCGAUGAAGGCCUUCGGGUUGUAAAGCACUUUUGGCAGGAAAGAAACGUCAUGGGUUAAUACCCCGUGAAACUGACGGUACCUGCAGAAUAAGCACCGGCUAACUACGUGCCAGCAGCCGCGGUAAUACGUAGGGUGCAAGCGUUAAUCGGAAUUACUGGGCGUAAAGCGUGCGCAGGCGGUUCGGAAAGAAAGAUGUGAAAUCCCAGAGCUCAACUUUGGAACUGCAUUUUUAACUGCCGGGCUAGAGUGUGUCAGAGGGAGGUGGAAUUCCGCGUGUAGCAGUGAAAUGCGUAGAUAUGCGGAGGAACACCGAUGGCGAAGGCAGCCUCCUGGGAUAACACUGACGCUCAUGAACGAAAGCGUGGGGAGCAAACAGA
rnacentral:rRNA from 1 species